CCUAGUUAUGUAGCUCUGUAAUGGGAUGGGAUCCGAAGCCCUCCGAGGGAUAAUACAGGCUCUCCCAUCCAACUCCUAUUCCGACACGUCCUCGUCGU
rnacentral:ribozyme from 1 species